AUUGUGCCAAGGAGUAAAAGACAACAAUGCUGCCAGGAUGAUGCCAACACACUACCUGCCCAUCCAGGAACAAGCAAUUUACAAAUUUACAAAAAGUAGAGUUUAUGCUACAGAGAUGACAAAAACGGGAGCUGGUCAUGCCAGAAAAACCAACCAUGUGAUUUGAGGGUUGGGCCUUUGUGCCAUGUGACAUCAGCCAGGCCUAAGGGGAAUGAAUACAGCAGGGCUGGAGAUCAAGCCAAGGAGCAACGAUUCAACCAAUCAUUCCUACAUAAGGAAAAUCCAGUAAAAACUCUGGACACUCAGGCUCAGCCAAAGAACACCAGGAAAACUACUACAGUUAAGUUGGAUGUACUACUCAUUGCAUUAAGGAAUGCACGGAGAACACACACCAUGGGGAACCCUGUGGUAUCGUGGUCCCUGUCUUCCCUGAAUGGUCUCUACCAACUUCACCUCCGGUUCUAGGUGUCAUGGCUGCCCCAAGAGUCUAGAGACGACAACUUCUCCGCUUCCUCGGCGAUGGCGGCGUCCGGGAGCGGUAUGGCCCAGAAAACCUGGGAACUGG
rnacentral:sRNA from 1 species